rnacentral:rRNA from 1 species
UACGGGGGGGCAAGCGUUGUUCGGAAUUACUGGGCGUAAAGGGCUCGUAGGUGGCCAACUAAGUCAGACGUGAAAUCCCUCGGCUUAACCGGGGACUGCGUCUGAUACUGGAUGGCUUGAGGUUGGGAGAGGGAUGCGGAAUUCCAGGUGUAGCGGUGAAAUGCGUAGAUAUCUGGAGGAACACCGGUGGCGAAGGCGGCAUCCUGGACCAAUUCUGACGCUGAGGAGCGAAAGCCAGGGGAGCAAACGGG